rnacentral:rRNA from 1 species
CUUGAGUCUGGGAUUUCCGAAUGGGGAAACCCACUUGCAUAAGCAAGUAUCAUUAACUGAAUACAUAGGUUAAUGAGGCAAACCGGGGGAACUGAAACAUCUAAGUACCCCGAGGAAGAGAAAUCAACCGAGAUUCCGGUAGUAGCGGCGAGCGAAACCGGAUUAGCCCUUAAGCUAGUUCUGCGUUAGGUGAAUGUACUGGAAAGUACAGCGAUACAGGGUGAUAGCCCCGUAACCAAAAAUGCAGUCUUAGUGAAAUCGAGUAGGACGGGACACGUGAUAUCCUGUUUGAACAUGGGGGGACCAUCCUCCAAGGCUAAAUACUCCUGACUGACCGAUAGUGAACCAGUACCGUGAGGGAAAGGCGAAAAGAACCCCUGUGAGGGGAGUGAAAUAGAACCUGAAACCGUGUACGUACAAGCAGUAGGAGCCCACUUGUUGGGUGACUGCGUACCUUUUGUAUAAUGGGUCAGCGACUUAAUUUUAGUAGCAAGGUUAACCGUUUAGGGGAGCCGUAGGGAAACCGAGUCUUAACUGGGCGAAUUAGUUGCUAGGAUUAGACCCGAAACCGAGUGAUCUAGCCAUGGGCAGGUUGAAGGUGAGGUAACACUUACUGGAGGACCGAACCGACUAAUGUUGAAAAAUUAGCGGAUGACUUGUGGCUAGGGGUGAAAGGCCAAUCAAACUCGGAGAUAGCUGGUUCUCCCCGAAAGCUAUUUAGGUAGCGCCUCGGACGAAUACUACUGGGGGUAGAGCACUGUUAAGGCUAGGGGGUCAUCCCGACUUACCAACCCUUUGCAAACUCCGAAUACCAGUAAGUAAUAUCCGGGAGACACACGGCGGGUGCUAACGUCCGUCGUGAAGAGGGAAACAACCCAGACCGCCAGCUAAGGUCCCAAAGUUAUAGCUAAGUGGGAAACGAUGUGGGAAGGCUCAGACAGCCAGGAUGUUGGCUUAGAAGCAGCCAUCAUUUAAAGAAAGCGUAAUAGCUCACUGGUCGAGUCGGCCUGCGCGGAAGAUUUAACGGGGCUAAGCUAUACACCGAAGCUGCGGCAAU